rnacentral:lncRNA from 1 species
UUCAUAAAUGAGAUUGAUUCUGUUGUUUUUUUUUCCCUCAAACUGUCUUUGCCAGAUUUUGGAACUGAACCCUUGCUCCCUGCCUCAUAGAUGAGCUGGACAAUUAUCCCGAAUGGUACCAGAAGCAGGAAAUUAUGUAUUGCCCUAUAUAUGGCAUUCCCUCCCGGAGAGCGCACCAUUUAUCAUGGCUUUUUAAUCUCCUCCGUGUGCAAUAGAAGAUAAAACAUCUCAACAAUAUUUCAGUGUUUGGAGAAGAUUAAGGCCCUGCAAACACUCCUGUUUGUUUCACCCAGUUCUUCUGCUGCAUCAAACUGGGUCAGAGUUUUGAGGUGGGUUUGGGUAGCUCUCUAGGAAUGUGGCUGUUUGUUU